rnacentral:lncRNA from 1 species
AACAUGAGCAAGGUCGAAGGCCCAGUAAUUUGUAGACCGGAUGGGGAGAGAGACCAUACAGCACCCAUAUGCACCCCCACAGCUAUGUUAGGGAUAGGAGGAGAACCUCGCCCUAACAUGAGCAAGAUCGAAGGUCCGAUUAUUUGUAGACCGGAUGGGGGGAGAGGCCAUACAGCGCCCAUAUGCGCCCCCACAGCCAUGUUAGGGACAGGAGGAGAACCUCGCCCUAACAUGAGCAAGAUCGAAGGCCCGGUUAUUUGUAGACCGGAUGG